rnacentral:SRP_RNA from 1 species
GGCGACCCCUCGCGUGGCGAUAUCCCUCUGAAUCCCCCAGGGCCGGAAGGCAGCAAGGGUAGGCGGGCCCUGUCGGGUGCGCGGGGGGUCCCUUCG